GAUGAACGCUGGCGGCAGGCUUAAUACAUGCAAGUUGAACGGUAACAUUUUGUAGCAAUACAGAGAUGACGAGUAGCGUACGGGUGCGUAACACGUGUGCAACCUACCUUAUACAGGAACAAAACGUUGAGAAAUUAGCGCUAAUAUUCCAUAAUAUUAUUGAUAGGCAUCUAUUUAUAAUUAAAGCUCAGGUGGUAUAAGAUGGGCACGCGUUCCAUUAGCUAGUUGGUAAGGUAACGGCUUACCAAGGCAACGAUGGAUAGGGGUUCUGAGAGGAUACACCCCCACACUGGAACUGAGACACGGUCCAGACUCCUACGGGAGGCGGCAGUAAGGAAUAUUGGGCAAUGGAGGCAACUCUGACCCAGCCAUGCCGCGUGCAGGAAGACAGUCUUAUGGAUUGUAAACUGCUUUUAAUAGGGAAUAAUUUCGAUUAUGUAUAGUUGAUUGCAGGUACCUAUAGAAUCAGCAUCGGCUAACUCCGUGCC
rnacentral:rRNA from 1 species